rnacentral:rRNA from 1 species
CCUACGGGCGACAGCAGUGAGGAAUAUUGGUCAAUGGCCGAGAGGCUGAACCAGCCAAGUCGCGUGAGGGAAGACGGUCCUACGGGUUGUAAACCUCUUUUGUCGGGGAGCAAAGCGUGUCACGUGUGCCCCCUUGAGUGUACCCGACGAAAAAGCAUCGGCUAACUCCGUGCCAGCAGCCGCGGUCAUACGGAGGAUGCGAGCGUUAUCCGGAUUUAUUGGGUUUAAAGGGUGCGCAGGCGGUGGUUCAAGUCAGCGGUCAAAUUGCGGGGCUCAACCCCGGACUGCCGUUGAAACUGCAAGCCUUGAGUGCGCGAGAAGUAUGCGGAAUGCGUGGUGUAGCGGUGAAAUGCAUAGAUAUCACGCAGAACUCCGAUUGCGAAGGCAACAUACCGGCGCGCAACUGACGCUGAUGCACGAAAGCGUGGGUAUCGAACAGGAUUAGAUACCCCUGUAGUC